rnacentral:rRNA from 1 species
AAUGCCUAGGAAUCUGCCUGGUAGUGGGGGAUAACGUUCGGAAACGGACGCUAAUACCGCAUACGUCCUACGGGAGAAAGCAGGGGACCUUCGGGCCUUGCGCUAUCAGAUGAGCCUAGGUCGGAUUAGCUAGUUGGUGAGGUAAUGGCUCACCAAGGCGACGAUCCGAAACUGGUCUGAGAGGAUGAUCAGUCACACUGGAACUGAGACACGGUCCAGACUCCUACGGGAGGCAGCAGUGGGGAAUAUUGGACAAUGGGCGAAAGCCUGAUCCAGCCAUGCCGCGUGUGUGAAGAAGGUCUUCGGAUUGUAAAGCACUUUAAGUUGGGAGGAAGGGUUGUAGAUUAAUACUCUGCAAUUUUGACGUUACCGACAGAAUAAGCACCGGCUAACUCUGUGCCAGCAGCCGCGGUAAUACAGAGGGUGCAAGCGUUAAUCGGAAUUACUGGGCGUAAAGCGCGCGUAGGUGGUUUGUUAAGUUGGAUGUGAAAUCCCCGGGCUCAACCUGGGAACUGCAUUCAAAACUGACUGACUAGAGUAUGGUAGAGGGUGGUGGAAUUUCCUGUGUAGCGGUGAAAUGCGUAGAUAUAGGAAGG